rnacentral:misc_RNA from 1 species
GAAACGAUAAGUUGUCUUGUCUGUCCCUUGACAUCAUUCUUAAGAUGAUUCUGGUGUUAACUUCUAGAUGAACGAGCAAAUUGAACGUUAAUGCGCUUCUUAAUUGGCGUCCUACAAGAAGGACAGUCAUUCAUUCCUUGCUUUUCGUGAAGCACGCUGCAUUGUGCACAAAGAACCUGAUGAGCGCAUGGGAGGAAAACCACUGUCAUUUCCUCACUCAAACACAUAACACACUCCCUCUCGAUUUCCA